UCCAGACUCCUACGGGAGGCAGCAGUGGGGGAUAUUGCACAAUGGGCGCAAGCCUGAUGCAGCGACGCCGCGUGAGCGAAGAAGUAUUUCGGUAUGUAAAGCUCUAUCAGCAGGGAAGAAAAUGACGGUACCUGACUAAGAAGCUCCGGCUAAAUACGUGCCAGCAGCCGCGGUAAUACGUAGGGGGCAAGCGUUAUCCGGAUUUACUGGGUGUAAAGGGAGCGUAGACGGCGAUGCAAGUCUGAAGUGAAAGGCGGGGGCCCAACCCCCGGACUGCUUUGGAAACUGUAUAGCUCGAGUGCAGGAGAGGUAAGUGGAAUUCCUAGUGUAGCGGUGAAAUGCGUAGAUAUUAGGAGGAACACCAGUGGCGAAGGCGGCUUACUGGACUGUAACUGACGUUGAGGCUCGAAAGCGUGGGGAGCAAACAGGAUUAGAUACCCCGGUAA
rnacentral:rRNA from 1 species